rnacentral:rRNA from 1 species
GAUGAACGCUAGCUACAGGCUUAACACAUGCAAGUCGAGGGGCAGCAUUUUAGUUUGCUUGCAAACUAAAGAUGGCGACCGGCGCACGGGUGAGUAACACGUAUCCAACCUGCCGAUAACUCGGGGAUAGCCUUUCGAAAGAAAGAUUAAUAUCCGAUAGUAUAUUAAAACCGCAUGGUUUACUAUUAAAGAAUUUCGGUUAUCGAUGGGGAUGCGUUCCAUUAGUUUGUUGGCGGGGUAACGGCCCACCAAGACUACGAUGGAUAGGGGUUCUGAGAGGAAGGUCCCCCACAUUGGAACUGAGACACGGUCCAA